GACGAGGGAUCCUAGCGUUGUUCGGAAUUAUUGGGCAUAAAGCGGGUGUAGGUGGUCUUAUAAGUCAGGUGUGAAAUCCCAGGGCUCAACCCUGGAAGUGCACUUGAUACUGUAAGACUUGAGUGUGGUAGAGGCUAUUAGAAUUCUUGGUGUAGUGGUGAAAUACGUAGAUAUCAAGAGGAAUACCGGAGGCGAAGGCGGAUAGCUGGGCCAACACUGACACUGAGACCCGAAAGCGUGGGGAUCAAACAGG
rnacentral:rRNA from 1 species